rnacentral:misc_RNA from 1 species
GAUGAAGAACGCAGCGAAAUGCGAUAAGUAAUGUGAAUUGCAGAAUUCAGUGAAUCAUCGAAUCUUUGAACGCACCUUGCGCUCCUUGGUAUUCCGAGGAGCAUGCCUGUUUGAGUGUCAUUAAUAUAUCAACCUUCUCUUUUUUGAGUUGUUUGGAUGUGGGGGUUUGCUGGCCUCUUAAAUGAUUCAGCUCCCCUGAAAUGCAUUAGCAGAACAACCUGUUCAUUAGCGUGAUAAUUAUCUAUGCUAUUGAAUGUGAGGGCAGUUCAGCUUUCUAACCGUCCUUGGACGAUUCAUCAUUAAUGUGACCUCAAAUCAGGUAGGACUACCCGCUGAACUUAAGCAUAUCAAUAAGCGGAGGA